rnacentral:rRNA from 1 species
UCAGACGAUGCGUCAUGCAUAUCAAUAAGCGGAGGAAAAGAAACUAACAAGGAUUCCCCUAGUAACGGCGAGUGAAGCGGGAAGAGCUCGAAAUUUGAAAUCUUAAAGGGUUUCCCUUUACGAAUUGUAGUUUAAAGAAGUGUUUUCUGUUGAGGUUUUGGUAAAAGUUCUUUGGAAUAGGACAUCAUAGAGGGUGAGAAUCCCGUAUUUGACCUUUACUUUCAACUUUGUGAUACACUUUCAAAGAGUCGGAUUGUUUGGGAAUGCAGUCCAAAAUGGGUGGUAAAUUUCAUCUAAAGCUAAAUAUUGGCGAGAGACCGAUAGCGAACAAGUACCGUGAGGGAAAGAUGAAAAGAACUUUGAAAAGAGAGUUAAACAGUACGUGAAAUUGUCAAAAGGGAAGCGUUUGACACCAGUGUUGUUUUUCUGAAAAUCAAUUAAAGAACUGUUUAUGCUAAGCUGUUUAGACUUUAUCAGCUAUCUGUUUAGUUUUGAGCUUUUCUUUAAUGCACUUUUCAGUUAACAAGUCAACAUCAAUUUCUUUUGCUGUAAAAAAGCUUGAGGAAGGUGGCUUGAGAUUCGUCUUAAGUGUUUAUAGCCUCUUGCCUAUGCAGUCGGAGAGAUUGAGGUCUGCAGCGUAGAUCCUUCGGGGCUAAAUGCAUUUGUGCUAAGUUAUAGCAUUUUAUAGACAACUUGUUGACUAUGAUUUGUCUUGUAGCUUACUCGCUUAUGUUAUUUUACCUACGCUUAGGAUGUUGACACACGCGCGUGCUCG